AAGCGCUUGCAACCAGACUUGCACGCUGUUGAUCAUCCAGGCUUCUGUUUGGUGCACUCAACUGUGUUCAGGCCAGCAUCGGUUUUGGUGGUGGGAUAAAGGCCUUGGG
rnacentral:rRNA from 1 species